AAGCCAGAAGUCCUCUCCUUUCAACUAUCUCUGCUGUAUCUUUCUGUUAUUAUCACUGAUAGAGAUUGGGAUUUAUCACAUCAGGAACUGCUUAUUUUAUGAUGCGGUUAUUGUGUCUACAAAACGCAAAACAGGAAAUAGUGCAAGGAGUAUUGGUUAUAUUCGUUAUGAAUUGUAUGCUUAAUUACCAUGCCUUCUGUUUUCUGACUGUGUGUCUUGGGAUAAGGUGAUUUUUUAGAAUGUUCAAGCCACAUCGCAUAUGUGUGGUGAGUGCCUGUUGGGGCACCAUAUCCGGUACAAGGACCCAAGGAUUAACCAGGUGGGAAAAGUAGGGGGUGGGCAGUGUUCUACUCAUGCCCAUGACUUUCCAAACAAACUAAUGAAAAGAACAGCAUCUACAAGGAGUUUCAGGAAGAGAAGAUGGUGUAAAUUAAGAGUUGGGGGAGGUAGGAAAGGAGUAACAACAAAAUUUCUCAACAAAAAUAAGAAUAAAGAUAGUGUCUUUACACAGAUACACUUUACAUAGCUUCUGGUAAAGCCCUCAACAGCAUUGUUGCUUUCUCUAAAUUUUUCAGUGUUCUCCCUCUGCUCGGAAUUCCUGAAAUUUAGAUGGCUCUAGCCAAAUUGUUCAGGACUCAGUUUCAAGCCAGCUUCCCUCAAACUGGUUGACUUUUAGAAUGUUAAUGAGAUUGAAAAACUACCUAUGUAUGGGUAUGUUACAAAUUUAUAUACCCUGCUUUAUAGAAGGACAUGUAAGAUAGAGUCAAACUAUUGCAGGACUUCUCAGAAACUUUGAUGUGUUGCUACGUCCUGUGAAUUUUCUACCCAGUAUCUCCUUCAGCCUUGUGUCAAGGGACCAACAGAGCCAACCUUUCAUCAAGGACAGGCAGAGAGGGGCAGCGUCCUGUGGAUUUUCAAGAGGAGACUAUUGCUUCAAGUGUUUCACUGAACACUGGAAUUGGAGAGGGCAGGGGUAGCCUACCUAUUCAGUUUUCUUAGAACAUCACUCCUUAAAAAACUAGUUCGGGAGAUGUUAGUUAGUAAGCCACUUUUAAUUUUAUGUAUUGUAUGACCGGCGCCGCGGCUCACUAGGCUAAUCCUCCGCCUUGCGGCGCCAGCACACCGGGUUCUAGUCCCGGUCAGGGCGCCGGGUUCUGUCCCGGUUGCCCCUCUUCCAGGCCAGCUCUCUGCUGUGGCCAGGGAGUGCAGUGGAGGAUGGCCCAAGUGCUUGGGCCCUGCACCCCAUGGGAGACCAGGAUAAGUACCUGGCUCCUGCCAUCGGAUUAGCCUGGUACGCCAGCCGCAGCGCGCCAGCCGCGGCGGCCAUUGGAGGGUGAACCAAUGGCAAAGGAAGACCUUUCUCUCUGUCUCUCUCUCUCUCACUGUCCACUCUGUCAAAAAAAAAAAAUUAUGUAUUGUGAGUACUUAGUCACAUCUUCUGAAAAGUUGGAGAAAAUGAUCAAUUACACAAGCCCUUAAUAAUCUCUAUGUGUGGGCUUUCUAGGAAAGAAGCUUUCUAGAAAUGGUCUCCAAUAAUCACAGAAUGGAGGAAUUUAUAGAGAUCUUGGAGAUUUAUUGUCCUACUGUGUAACACAAGAUGGAUCAUGAAUCCUAGAAACAACUUGAUCAAGAUUAUUCAGGUUGCUGGUGACUGGACCAGCAAUACUGGUCCAGCUAACACUCCAGCUCACACUCCAGCUCACCACCCUGUGUCUAAUUCAUCUCCCUGUCCCUUCACAGGAAGACUCUCACGGCUCUGAAAAAAAAAAAAAGUCGUUGUCUUUCCGAGGUCCUUUAAAACCUCCAGAAAGAAGAAACAUUCCACAGGUACGUGACAUCACGGCAUUCAAGACUCAUCCCAGGACUCGCCAACACAUUGAAGGUACCUGACAUUCUUGGGAAUGAUGUACUUGCCAUUCUUCUGUCAGGUAUGCUUGUUCCCUGUUAUUAACAUAACCUCUCUCCCUCACUAUAUCACAUGUCUGUUCAGUGACAGAACCUUCAGAGUCCUUUUUUUCAAUGCUAUUGAAAACAGCAUCUUCAAAACUUGUAAUUUCACCAUCACAGUAGUCAUCAUCACAUGAUUCAAUUGUAUGUCUUUAUUAUUCUACCAAAAAAUAUA